CGCAGACACUGAGGCCAGGUGAGAGGGUCCUGCUGCCGUGGUGGCCCACAAGGCGCCCGGUGUCUCUCCACCUGUCCGCUUGCCUCUCCUGACUGGGCUCCUUCUGCCUCCCACAGCCUCCAUCCUCUCCUGUGCCUCUCUCGGCCUGUGUCUUCAUCUCUGCCCCCACCCCACACACACAUACUUCAUCUCUCGGUCUCUGUUUCUGUUCCCCUCUCUCUGCUUCAAUCUCUGUAUCUAAUUUUCCCUGCCCCCUCUUUCUCUCUGCCUGUGUCUCUCCAUCUGUCUCUCUGAUUUUCUACCUCCCUUCAACUGUGUCUCUCAGCCCAGUGCUUCCUCUAUCUCUGAUGUUCUAUGUGUCCUGAUUUUCCUUUUCUCCUUAUUUCUUUCCAUAUCUGUCUUUGUCUCUCUCUUGUCUUUGCCUUUCUCUGUCUCUCUCCAUCUCUCUGCCUCUCUCUGAUUCUCCCUCUCUAUCUCUGCCUGGCUGUUUCAACCCCUUGCUUCCCAUCUCCUAUUUUCAGGCCUCUCUUCUUCCCUCUUUCCCUCUGCUGGCCGGAGCCCUGUGUUCUUUCCUGAAUAAAGCUGGUUCUGUCCUGGCUCCCCCUUCUCUGCCUCCGUCUUUCCUCCCCCCUCUGCCCCCACCCACGCCCAGCCCAGAUCCUGGGUGAGGAGCUCAGUAUUGGCAGCAGGGUCAUUCCCUUCUGCCCCACACAAUAGGAAGGAGGGGUGGAGAGCAGGGACUCAAGACCAGAGAGGCAGGGAGUAAGGUCAGCCCAGAUGAGGGACAGUGGCUCAUGGGAUUCAGAGGUCAGGCAGCACCCCACACCCGGCAGAUCGGGCUCUCCUCCCCCUCGGACCAGGCUGUGCCAGCACCAGGACAAUGCGCCCUUGUCUCCUGUCCUGACAGCUGGGGGCUCCUGCCUCCAGCUCCUUCAGAGAAGCCAGUGGCUUUCUGCUCCACCCUAGACCCUGAAGGCAGGACGCAAGGAAACCAACUCAGAGAGAGUAAAGAGCUGCCCACAGACACAGGCAUCAGCAAUGGAAGGCCUCAGCAGACCACAGUUUUCCAGAUGAAAACAUCUGCAACAUGCGUAACACCUGCAGGACACUGGAGACCAGCAGCUGCUAGGACAGAGGCUCCUUAGGACUCACCUGCCUGAAGGACCAACAUGACAUGCCCAGCACAGAUCACCUGUGUGUGUGUGUGUGUGUGUGUGUGUGUGUGUGUGUGCGCCUAAUGGGACUGUCACCACCUGUUGGCACAGAAUGGAACUGCAACCCAGUUGUAUUAGGCACUGAAAUUUGUCCCCAAUAAAGGACAGUUGGGGCGAGGGAAGCUGUAGAGAGACAUGGAAAAUUCUGUAAAAAUGAAUAUUUUUGCUCCUAAUAAAGAAACAUUCACAAGAAGUGUUUGUG
rnacentral:lncRNA from 1 species